CCUACGGGAGGCAGCAGUGAGGAAUAUUGGUCAAUGGGCGUAAGCCUGAACCAGCCAUGCCGCGUGAAGGAUGAAGGCUCUAUGGAUUGUACACCUCUUUUAUACGGGAAUAAAGUGCGGGACGGGUCCCUUUUUGUAUGUACUUUAUGAAUAAGGAUCGGCUAACUCCGUGCCAGCAGCAGCGGUAAUACGGAGGAGUCGAGCGUUAUCCGGAUUUAUUGGGUUUAAAGGGUGCGUAGACGGGCUUUUAAGUCAGCGGUGAAAGUCUGUGGCUCAACCAUAGAAUUGCCGUUGAUACUGGGAGGCUUGAGUAUGGUUGAGGCAGGCGGAAUGCGUGGUGUAGCGGUGAAAUGCUUAGAUAGCACGCAGAACCCCGAUUGCGAAGGCAGCCUACCAAGCCAUGACUGACGCUGAUGCACGAAAGCGUGGGGAUCAAACAGGAUUAGAUACCCUGGUAGUC
rnacentral:rRNA from 1 species